CCCUUAGAUGUUCUGGGCCGCACGCGCGCUACACUGACGAAGUCAGCGAGCAUGUCCUACGCCGACAGGUGCGGGGAAUCUUGUCAAACUUCGUCGUGAUGGGGAUUGAUUAUUGAAAUUCUUGAUCAUCAACGAGGAAUUCCUAGUAAGCGCAAGUCAGCAGCUUGCGUUGAUUACGUCCCUGCCCUUUGUACACACCGCCCGUCGCUACUACCGAUUGAAUGGUUUAGUGAGAUUUUCGGAUUGGCGCCACUGCGGCUCAGCAAUGGGCUCGGUGGAUGCCGAAAAGUUGAUCAAACUUGAUCAUUUAGAGGAAGUAAAAGUCGUAACA
rnacentral:rRNA from 1 species